rnacentral:rRNA from 1 species
AGCGUACACGGUGGAUGCCCUGGCAGUCAGAGGCGAUGAAGGACGUGCUAAUCUGCGAUAAGCGUCGGUAAGGUGAUAUGAACCGUUAUAACCGGCGAUUUCCGAAUGGGGAAACCCAGUGUGUUUCGACACACUAUCAUUAACUGAAUCCAUAGGUUAAUGAGGCGAACCGGGGGAACUGAAACAUCUAAGUACCCCGAGGAAAAGAAAUCAACCGAGAUUCCCCCAGUAGCGGCGAGCGAACGGGGAGGAGCCCAGAGCCUGAAUCAGUGUGUGUGUUAGUGGAAGCGUCUGGAAAGGCGCGCGAUACAGGGUGACAGCCCCGUACACAAAAAUGCACAUGCUGUGAGCUCGAUGAGUAGGGCGGGACACGUGGUAUCCUGUCUGAAUAUGGGGGGACCAUCCUCCAAGGCUAAAUACUCCUGACUGACCGAUAGUGAACCAGUACCGUGAGGGAAAGGCGAAAAGAACCCCGGCGAGGGGAGUGAAAAAGAACCUGAAACCGUGUACGUACAAGCAGUGGGAGCACGCUUAGGCGUGUGACUGCGUACCUUUUGUAUAAUGGGUCAGCGACUUAUAUUCUGUAGCAAGGUUAACCGAAUAGGGGAGCCGAAGGGAAACCGAGUCUUAACUGGGCGUUAAGUUGCAGGGUAUAGACCCGAAACCCGGUGAUCUAGCCAUGGGCAGGUUGAAGGUUGGGUAACACUAACUGGAGGACCGAACCGACUAAUGUUGAAAAAUUAGCGGAUGACUUGUGGCUGGGGGUGAAAGGCCAAUCAAACCGGGAGAUAGCUGGUUCUCCCCGAAAGCUAUUUAGGUAGCGCCUCGUGAAUUCAUCUCCGGGGGUAGAGCACUGUUUCGGCAAGGGGGUCAUCCCGACUUACCAACCCGAUGCAAACUGCGAAUACCGGAGAAUGUUAUCACGGGAGACACACGGCGGGUGCUAACGUCCGUCGUGAAGAGGGAAACAACCCAGACCGCCAGCUAAGGUCCCAAAGUCAUGGUUAAGUGGGAAACGAUGUGGGAAGGCCCAGACAGCCAGGAUGUUGGCUUAGAAGCAGCCAUCAUUUAAAGAAAGCGUAAUAGCUCACUGGUCGAGUCGGCCUGCGCGGAAGAUGUAACGGGGCUAAACCAUGCACCGAAGCUGCGGCAGCGACGCUUAUGCGUUGUUGGGUAGGGGAGCGUUCUGUAAGCCUGUGAAGGUGUGCUGUGAGGCAUGCUGGAGGUAUCAGAAGUGCGAAUGCUGACAUAAGUAACGAUAAAGCGGGUGAAAAGCCCGCUCGCCGGAAGACCAAGGGUUCCUGUCCAACGUUAAUCGGGGCAGGGUGAGUCGACCCCUAAGGCGAGGCCGAAAGGCGUAGUCGAUGGGAAACAGGUUAAUAUUCCUGUACUUGGUGUUACUGCGAAGGGGGGACGGAGAAGGCUAUGUUGGCCGGGCGACGGUUGUCCCGGUUUAAGCGUGUAGGCUGGUUUUCCAGGCAAAUCCGGAAAAUCAAGGCUGAGGCGUGAUGACGAGGCACUACGGUGCUGAAGCAACAAAUGCCCUGCUUCCAGGAAAAGCCUCUAAGCAUCAGGUAACAUCAAAUCGUACCCCAAACCGACACAGGUGGUCAGGUAGAGAAUACCAAGGCGCUUGAGAGAACUCGGGUGAAGGAACUAGGCAAAAUGGUGCCGUAACUUCGGGAGAAGGCACGCUGAUAUGUAGGUGAAGUCCCUCGCGGAUGGAGCUGAAAUCAGUCGAAGAUACCAGCUGGCUGCAACUGUUUAUUAAAAACACAGCACUGUGCAAACACGAAAGUGGACGUAUACGGUGUGACGCCUGCCCGGUGCCGGAAGGUUAAUUGAUGGGGUCAGCGCAAGCGAAGCUCUUGAUCGAAGCCCCGGUAAACGGCGGCCGUAACUAUAACGGUCCUAAGGUAGCGAAAUUCCUUGUCGGGUAAGUUCCGACCUGCACGAAUGGCGUAAUGAUGGCCAGGCUGUCUCCACCCGAGACUCAGUGAAAUUGAACUCGCUGUGAAGAUGCAGUGUACCCGCGGCAAGACGGAAAGACCCCGUGAACCUUUACUAUAGCUUGACACUGAACAUUGAGCCUUGAUGUGUAGGAUAGGUGGGAGGCUUAGAAGUGUGGACGCCAGUCUGCAUGGAGCCGACCUUGAAAUACCACCCUUUAAUGUUUGAUGUUCUAACGUUGACCCGUAAUCCGGGUUGCGGACAGUGUCUGGUGGGUAGUUUGACUGGGGCGGUCUCCUCCUAAAGAGUAACGGAGGAGCACGAAGGUUGGCUAAUCCUGGUCGGACAUCAGGAGGUUAGUGCAAUGGCAUAAGCCAGCUUGACUGCGAGCGUGACGGCGCGAGCAGGUGCGAAAGCAGGUCAUAGUGAUCCGGUGGUUCUGAAUGGAAGGGCCAUCGCUCAACGGAUAAAAGGUACUCCGGGGAUAACAGGCUGAUACCGCCCAAGAGUUCAUAUCGACGGCGGUGUUUGGCACCUCGAUGUCGGCUCAUCACAUCCUGGGGCUGAAGUAGGUCCCAAGGGUAUGGCUGUUCGCCAUUUAAAGUGGUACGCGAGCUGGGUUUAGAACGUCGUGAGACAGUUCGGUCCCUAUCUGCCGUGGGCGCUGGAGAACUGAGGGGGGCUGCUCCUAGUACGAGAGGACCGGAGUGGACGCAUCACUGGUGUUCGGGUUGUCAUGCCAAUGGCACUGCCCGGUAGCUAAAUGCGGAAGAGAUAAGUGCUGAAAGCAUCUAAGCACGAAACUUGCCCCGAGAUGAGUUCUCCCUGACUCCUUGA